UUUGUUUCUUUUACACAGUAAAUAUUAUCAGGACACGAUGAAGAAGAAGGCUUCAGGCACUUUCCUUUAAAAGCCAAUGAGAAGCGGCACCCAACAGACGCACUGGUUCUGAUCCAGGUUUCUGUCUGUUCAUCAUGAGUCUGGUUCUGAUCCAGGCUUCUGUCUGUUCAUCAUGAGUCUGGUUCUGCUCCAGGUUUCUGCCUGUUCA